GUCUGCCUGCACGCCCCCAUGCUCCUCACCUGGAUGAUAAUGGACUACACCUCUGAAACUGGGACUCAAGAUGACGCAGCAGAGGUGGGAAGAGAUGCAUCAUCCCCCCCGGGGCUCAAGAAGUUGUUCCUGCAGAGUCCUCAAAACCACCAGGCAAGGAUCCAGGAGAAGCUGAGCAAGGCAAUGUCUUAACAACCAAACUCAAGGCAGGGAGAGCAGUGGGUGGGGGCCCCCGAGGGACCUUACCUCUCAGAGCUGAAAUUUAAUGUUCCCUUGCACGAAACUGAUCUGAGUGUGCCCUGAUGACUGCAGACUCUAGAACCAUCCACACCUGUCACAAACACAGUAGGCUUUUAUUUUUUUACAGCCUUCAAGAACCAAGACUAUUUGGCUAGUCUGGGUCCCAUGAGGCUCUGCACAGCUGGAAUGCUGGUGAGAGCUGUGUGGAUCUGCAAGCAGCUGGGCUGGACUACUGACGACAUCUCAGAACUUCCUUGAUUUCUGUUGUUUAAUGUUUGUGCUGUUUAACGGUUUUAAAAUACACUUUACACUUCUUUUGUUAACUUUA